rnacentral:rRNA from 1 species
UACGUAGGGGGCUAGCGUUGUCCGGAAUCAUUGGGCGUAAAGAGCGUGUAGGCGGUCCGGUAAGUCCGCUGUGAAAGUCGGGGGCUCAACCCUCGAAUGCCGGUGGAUACUGUCGGGCUAGAGUGCGGAAGAGGCGAGUGGAAUUCCUGGUGUAGCGGUGAAAUGCGUAGAUAUCUGGAGGAAUACCGGUGGCGAAGGCGGCAUCCUGGACCGGCAUUGACGCUGAGGAGCGAAAGCCAGGGGAGCAAACGGG